UAGUUCAUCGAAAAGCAUCAAAGUCAUGGAGAUGAUUUGGAUUCACCACCUUCACACUGCCAAUGCACGAGAGACCUUUGGAAAGAAGUUUUUUGGAGUUUUUUCCCAGAAACCUGUCCUUCGAAAGAACUUGAGGAACUCCAACAGAAAAGGAAGUGGACUUGCUACACAAUGGAAAUUAUUAAUUUUGAAGUGUUAA
ensembl:ncRNA Y57G11C.56 ncRNA